rnacentral:rRNA from 1 species
GGCGGAGCCUGAUCCAGCCAUGCCGCGUGCAGGAAGACUGCCCUAUGGGUUGUAAACUGCUUUUGUACGGGAAGAAACACUCCUACGUGUAGGGGCUUGACGGUACCGUAAGAAUAAGCAUCGGCUAACUCCGUGCCAGCAGCCGCGGUAAU